CAGCCCUCCUGCACAAGUAACUUACAACCUUUCCUGCACCCAGCUAUCACCAGACACCUCAGGCAAGAAGAACCUCUCAGGUGGUUACACAUCCUCCUGCUCUCCUUUCCAAGCUAGCUGCUGCUGAAGAAGAACUAGAGGCAAAGCUGAGUGCCCUGGUGGAGGGGAGGACAGCUGCUUGCACUCAGAAGCCUGCACAGAUACAGAGAGGUCAGCCACCAUGGGAGUAGGGAUGAGAAAUUCUGUCCUGCCAAAACCCCCACCAACCCAAAGACAAAAGGAAAAGUUUGGCUGCCACGAGGAAGGACAGAUAUGCUGAGAAAUUCCAUCCCCAAGACCCAGGAGCAAAAAACUUGCCUGAGACAGAGACUAGCCCUGAAGAAAUGGAAUACCAUGCCUCUGUCAGAGGCAGGUGAACCAGAGCAACUCCAUCUUGAAUAGGAACUGGGUAAAAUGAGGCUGAGACCUACUGGGUGCAUUCUCAGAUGGUUAAGGCAUUCUAAGUCACAGGAUGAAAUAGAAGGUCGGCACAAGAUACAGGUCAUAAAGACCUUGCUGAUGAAACAGGUUUUGUAGCAGGACAAGCCGCAGACACAACCCCUCAGACACUGAGUUAAAGAAGAAAGGGCUUUAUUCAGCCAGGAGCUUCAGCAAGACUCACGUCUCCAACAACCGAGCUCUCUGAGUCAGCAAUUCCUGUCCCUUUUAAGAGCUCACAAUUCUAAGCGGGUCUGCAUGAGAGGGUCGUGAUUGAUUGAGCAAGCAGAGGGUACGUGACUGGGGGCUGCAUGCACCGGUAAUUAGAAUGGAACAGGACAGGGAUUUUCACAGUGCUUUUCUAUACAAUAGCUGUAAUCUAUAGAUAACAUAACCAAUUAGGUCAGGGGUCAAUCUUUAACAACCAGGCCCAGUGUGUGGCACUGGGCUGUCUUUUAGAAAUGAAAUGUGGAUUUCAUUUCUGCCUUUUAGUUUUUACUUCUUCUUUCUUUGGAGGCAGAAAUUGGGCAUAAGACAAUAUGAAGGGUGGUCUCCUCCCUUAGUUUCAGUAAAGAAGCCGGCCAAAACCCACCAAAACCAAGAUGGUGAAGAGAGUGACCUCUGGUCGUCCUCACUGCUACACUCCCACCAGCGCCAUGACAGUUUACAAAUGCCAUGGCAACGUCAGGAAAUUACGCUAUAUGGUCUAAAAAGAGGAGGCAUGAAUAAUCCACCCCUUGUUUAGCAUGUCAUCAAGAAACAACCAUAAAAAUGGUCAACCAGCCACCCUCAGGGCUGCUUUGUCUAUGGAAAGGCCAUUAUUUUAUUUCUUUAUUUUCCUAAUAAACUUG
rnacentral:lncRNA from 1 species